rnacentral:rRNA from 1 species
GAUCCGGUGGUUCUGUAUGGAAGGGCCAUCGCUCAACGGAUAAAAGGUACUCCGGGGAUAACAGGCUGAUACCGCCCAAGAGUUCAUAUCGACGGCGGUGUUUGGCACCUCGAUGUCGGCUCAUCACAUCCUGGGGCUGAAGCCGGUCCCAAGGGUAUGGCUGUUCGCCAUUUAAAGUGGUACGCGAGCUGGGUUUAGAACGUCGUGAGACAGUUCGGUCYCUAUCUGCCGUGGACGUUUGAGAUUUGAGAGGGGCUGCUCCUAGUACGAGAGGACCGGAGUGGACGAACCUCUGGUGUUCCGGUUGUCACGCCAGUGGCAUUGCCGGGUAGCUAUGUUCGGAAAAGAUAACCGCUGAAAGCAUCUAAGCGGGAAACUUGCCUCAAGAUGAGAUCUCACUGGGAACUUGAUUCCCCUGAAGGGCCGUCGAAGACUACGACGUUGAUAGGCUGGGUGUGUAAGCGUUGUGAGGCGUUGAGCUAACCAGUACUAAUUGCCCGUGAGGCUUGACCAUAUAACACCCAAACA